AUUAGAUACCCUGGUAGUCCACGCAGUAAACGAUGAAUACUAAUUGUCCGGGGCGAUUAAGUUCUGGGUGGUACAGCGAAAGCGUUAAGCAUUCCACCUGGGGAGUACGCCGGCAACGGUGAAACUCAAAGGAAUUGACGGGGGCCCGCACAAGCGGAGGAACAUGUGGUUUAAUUCGAUGAUACGCGAGGAACCUUACCCGGGCUCAAACGCACAGUGACUGUCUGUGAAAGCAGAUUUUCCCUUCGGGGCUCCUGUGGAGGUGCUGCAUGGUUGUCGUCAGCUCGUGCCGUGAGGUGUCGGCUUAAGUGCCAUAACGAGCGCAACCCCUCUCGCCAGUUGCCAUCGGGUGAUGCCGGGCACUCUGGCGACACUGCCGCCGCAAGGUGUGAGGAAGGUGGGGAUGACGUCAAAUCAGCACGGCCCUUACGUCCGGGGCUACACACGUGUUACAAUGGGGCAUACAGAGAGUUGGCCAUGCGCAAGUAUGGUCGGAUCAAGAAAGUGCCCCUCAGUUCGGACUGGGGUCUGCAACCCGACCCCACGAAGCUGGAUUCGCUAGUAAUCGCGCAUCAGCCAUGGCGCGGUGAAUACGUUCCCGGGCCUUGUACACACCGCCCGUCAAGCCAUGAAAGCCGGGGGCGCCUGAAGUCCGUGACCGCGAGGAUCGGCCUAGGGUGAAACCGGUGAUUGGGGCUAAGUCGUAACAA
rnacentral:rRNA from 1 species